UAAUACGUAGGAGGCGAGCGUUAUCCGGAUUUACUGGGCGUAAAGAGGGCGUAGGCGGCCUUUCAAGUCGGAUGUGAAAUCUCCCGGCUUAACCGGGAGGGGUCAUCCGAUACUGCUGGGCUAGAGGGCAGCAAGGGGAGGUGGAAUUCCCGGUGUAGUGGUGAUAUGCGUAGAUAUCGGGAGGAACACCAGUGGCGAAGGCGGCCUCCUGGGCUGUUUCUGACGCUGAGGCCCGAAAGUGUGGGGAGCGAACAGGAUUAGAUACCCUGGUAGUCCACACUGUAAACGAUGGACACUAGGUAUAGGGAGUAUCGACCCUCUCUGUGUCGAAGCUAACGCUUUAAGUGUCCCGCCUGGGGACUACGGCCGCAAGGCUA
rnacentral:rRNA from 1 species